GAAGAGACGCGGCACACAGCUCAGUAACACGUGGCUAACCUGCCCUUGGGACAAGGACAACUCCGGGAAACUGGGGCUAAUCCCUGAUAGGUGAGAACUCCUGGAAUGGAUUCUCGCUCAAAGGACGUUUAGACCAUGCUUCUAAGCGUCGCCCAAGGAGGGGGCCGCGACCGAUCAGGUUGUUGGUGAGGUAACGGCUCACCAAGCCUUUAACCGGUACGGGCCGUGAGAGCGGAAGCCCGGAGAUGGGCACUGAGACAAGGGCCCAGGCCCUACGGGGCGCAGCAGUCGCGAAAACUCCGCAAUACACGAAAGUGUGACGGGGCCAUCCCUAGUGCCAUCCGCUGAGGAUGGCUUUUCCCCAGUGUAUAAAGCUGGGGGAAUAAGGAGAGGGCAAGCCUGGUGUCAGCCGCCGCGGUAAUACCAGCUCUCCGAGUGGUGGGGAUGAUUAUUGGGCCUAAAGCAUUCGUAGCCUGCUUGGCAAGUCCUCCGAUUAAUCCAACGAUUCAAUCGUUGGGCUGCGGGGGAUACUGUCCGGCU
rnacentral:rRNA from 1 species